UACGUAGGGGGCAAGCGUUAUCCGGAAUUACUGGGUGUAAAGGGAGCGUAGACGGUAAUGUAAGUCUGGAGUGAAAGGCGGGGGCCCAACCCCCGGACUGCUCUGGAAACUAUGUUACUAGAGUGCAGGAGAGGUAAGCGGAAUUCCUAGUGUAGCGGUGAAAUGCGUAGAUAUUAGGAGGAACACCCGUGGCGAAGGCGGCUUACUGGACUGUAACUGACGUUGAGGCUCGAAAGCGUGGGGAGCAAACAGG
rnacentral:rRNA from 1 species